GAUGAACGCUGGCGGCGUGCCUAAUACAUGCAAGUCGAGCGAACAGACGAGGAGCUUGCUCCUCUGACGUUAGCGGCGGACGGGUGAGUAACACGUGGAUAACCUACCUAUAAGACUGGGAUAACUUCGGGAAACCGGAGCUAAUACCGGAUAAUAUAUUGAACCGCAUGGUUCAAUAGUGAAAGACGGUUUUGCUGUCACUUAUAGAUGGAUCCGCGCCGCAUUAGCUAGUUGGUAAGGUAACGGCUUACCAAGGCAACGAUGCGUAGCCGACCUGAGAGGGUGAUCGGCCAAACUGGAACUGAGACAAGGUCCAGACUCCUAAGGGAGGCAGCAGUAGGGAAUCUUCCGCAAUGGGCGAAAGCUUGACGGAGCAACGCCGCGUGAGUGAUGAAGGUCUUCGGAUCGUAAAACUCUGUUAUUAGGGAAGAACAAAUGUGUAAGUAACUAUGCACGUCUUGACGGUACCUAAUCAGAAAGCCACGGCUAACUACGUG
rnacentral:rRNA from 1 species